GACAUGGUGGCCUAAUGGUUAGCGCAAGGUGGACUCCAGAUCGAGCUGUCCGGGUUCAAGCCCUGGCCGGGUCA